rnacentral:tRNA from 1 species
GGAUUGUAGCUCAGUAGUAGAGCACUUGCCUAGCAUGUGUGAGGCACUGGGUUCAAUUCUCAGCACCA